GGCCCGCUGGCUCAAUGGUAGAGCGUCUGACUACGAUACAAUAGUAAUCAGGAGGUUCCAGGUUCGAGACCUGGGUGGGUCG